AAAGCGAAGUAAAAGUUUCAUGAUGAAAUACUUAGCUCUCGUUGUAGCGCUCGUUAUUGUCAGUUACAUUCAUCUAUCAGAAUGUGAAGAAUCGGAAGAUUCCGGUUCAGAUUUACUUGAGCGAUUGCUUAAAUUCAAAAUGGGGCUCCUGGAUGCGGGACUGAGAGGAAUCGGCAGACUUAAGGAUGGGUUAGGUGUUAUAGGCACGUUCGCCAGAAAAAUGCAAUAAGUAUGUGAAGAUAAGUUACACACUUAUAUACGAGUAUACAAGACAAAAAAUGAUUCAAAUCAAAUGUUUGGUUAAAAUUACAAAUCGUGUAAAAUGUGAGCUGAAACAAUUCUUAUCAGUACAAAGAUGUUCAGGCAAAGUCGGUUAUCUAAUCAAUUUUGCAAAACACUAACCCCACUA
rnacentral:sRNA from 1 species